GACGAACCGAGCGAACGUUGUUCGGAAUCACUGGGCUUAAAGGGCGCGUAGGCGGCUUGUCAAGUCAGGGGUGAAAUCUUUCGGCUCAACCGGAAAAGUGCCCUUGAUACUGACAGGCUCGAGGGAGGUAGGGGCAUGUGGAACUUCUGGUGGAGCGGUGAAAUGCGUUGAUAUCAGAAGGAACGCCGGUGGCGAAAGCGACGUGCUGGACCUCUUCUGACGCUGAGGCGCGAAAGCUAGGGGAGCAAACGGG
rnacentral:rRNA from 1 species